CCGAGUGCGGGCCUCGCGGCCCAACCUCCCACCCUUGUCUCUAUACACCUGUUGCUUUGGCGGGCCCACCGGGGCCACCUGGUCGCCGGGGGACGCACGUCCCCGGGCCCGCGCCCGCCGAAGCGCUCUGUGAACCCUGAUGAAGAUGGGCUGUCUGAGUACUAUGAAAAUUGUCA
rnacentral:misc_RNA from 1 species